GUGAGGUGGUACAUGACAAAGAAGGUUGCUGGUGUGAUGAGGUCGUCAGACAGCACAACACUGCUAUUUUUAGAAUUCAUGUUCCAAGCUAUCCAGGCUAUCAGAUUGCAGAUAGAAAAUGGAGACAGAAGCAGAAGGACAGCACGCAGAAAGCCCACAUCAGUGAACUCCAGCAUGACUACUGGAAGCAGAAUCCCUGUUGCAAUUCCUCCUUGUUCCAGAGAUCAUUGGUGGAAGGGAUGGAAACAUGAGUAUACAGCACCCCAGUCAUUCGAACAGACCUUGUUAUUCACAGUGACUACUGACUGGUAAAACAGAAUUCAAGGACAUUUAUGAUUAUGACAGUAGUGUCGCAACCAGGGACAGUGAAUAAAAACAAAUUAGAGAUAUAUGACAACACGUUAUGCAUCUAUAACUGCAGCUGUUUGCAUCAUUUCCUUGCCAUGAAGUUAUAUCACAUGUGAAUAUAUCACUUUUUCCACCAAACGGAGACAUUUUCCUUGAGGAAACAGUUUGGGGGGAAAAGCAGCAAGUGGUGGAGGGCAGCCAGGAGACUUAAGCUCCACCCAGGACUGGUAAGUGAUUGAUGUCAAGUUGGGUAGUAUGUCUGCCCUAUAGUUUAGUCCUUAACUUUGAAUGAACUGUCCAAUAUGCCACACUUUAUCUCCAAAUAAAGGGUAAGACUCAC
rnacentral:lncRNA from 11 species